UCUUUAUGUUUCUGCCUGUCUCACCACACCUCAGACGUUUCCAUGGAAGGGGAGGGUCCUGGAGAGAAAACGGGCAGCAUUUAGAAAAAUGUAAACAUUUCCCAACAAAUGCUGGAAAGGAAUUCCCACUUGGAAAAACUCGUCCAGGCUUGCUCUGUUGGCCAGAAGGCAGGGGACACGGCAGCACAUGCCCACCUGCAGUGAUGGCUCUGUGCUCCAGGAAGGCGCUGAUUUCCCCUGGGCUCGGCCACCUGGGGAAGCUGGAACUUGUGAACUCAGCCGCAGACGCAGGAGAGCCCUGGGCUGGGAGCGUUUCCGCGUUUCCAAGCCAACGCUGAAGGCUCGGGCACUGGUGGAUGGGAAAGCCAUUGAUUUUUCUCGAGAUAAUAACUCCAGUGUAUUUGUUCAGUGUCUUUCAGAACCAGAGCCUUGUCUGAUUUUAUUUCUGUUUUGUUUUGGUUUUAGUUUGUUUGCUCUGAGAGGAAAAAAGUGAACUGACUAAAGUCAAAAAUCUCAGUGUUUCUUGUUCAGUGGCUCCCGGGGUCAAACGGUUGAUGUCCUCCUGUCAAAAGCACUGGUUCUGCAACAUGACUCUAAUGAGCACCUACUGUGUGUUGUCAUGGGCAGGGAGGGCUUUGGGAGGAGCAUGACGUCUGGUGGCUUCUGAGAGGGCAGCCUGGCUCCUGGAGUCCAUAGUCCCUCCCCAAGUGACCUCUAAGUCCUGAUGACAAGUCCUCUGUCAAGA